UACGUAGGGGGCAAGCGUUGUCCGGAUUUAUUGGGCGUAAAGAGCGUGUAGGCGGCCUGGAAGGUCCGUUGUGAAAACUCGAGGCUCAACCUCGAGACGCCGAUGGAAACCGCCUGGCUAGAGUCCGGAAGAGGAGAGUGGAAUUCCUGGUGUAGCGGUGAAAUGCGCAGAUAUCAGGAAGAACACCCGUGGCUAAGGCGGCUCUCUAGUACGGUACUGACGCUGAGACGCGAAAGCGUGGGGAGCGAACAGG
rnacentral:rRNA from 1 species